rnacentral:rRNA from 1 species
UGAGGAACAUGACCUUCGGCGGGGGAUAGCCGGCCCAACGGCCGGGUAAUACCGCGUACGACCACUUUGGGACAUCCCUCGGUGGUGAAAGCAGCAAUGCGCCGAUGGAGUGCCUCGCGGCCUAUCAGCUAGUUGGUGAGGUAACGGCUCACCAAGGCGACGACGGGUAGCUGGU